rnacentral:lncRNA from 1 species
CAAUAUCCAGCCCAGGUUUGACCUUGACAACUGGGAAGGAGAAAUAACAGGAGGCGCAGUUACUGAUAUAGCCAAGGUGGGACACUACUGGAGGGAGCUAGAAGGGAUCAGCCAGCCAUGCCUCCAGUUCAGGUACUUGGCAUUGCUAAGCUCAGAACAGGACUUGCCAGUGUCUAGAUGAAAAAGAGGAGAGAUCUCAAGAGAAUCAUCUCAUCCAUGUAAGCCCUCAGCACUGGAUCCACCCAGCGGAUUCUUCUCCAUGACAUCUUGGUGGGUCUCCAGACACGCAUUUGGCUUCCAUGGGAUGAUGUUUCCAGAUCAGACCCUUGCUCUGCUCCCGAGCUGUGAACCAGAUCACAGGAGCAGAGGGUGAACUGUCUUGUUUCAGCCUAGGACUCUGAGAAUACUCUACCAGCCGAACACUUCCACAAGGAAACACAAUUGGUGGUAACAACUCUCAGAGGAAAGGGAAAUAAAACUGCUUCUUGCUUUCAAGAUCA